GACGAACGCUGGCGGCGUGCCUAAUACAUGCAAGUCGAACGAACUCUGGUAUUGAUUGGUGCUUGCAUCAUGAUUUACAUUUGAGUGAGUGGCGAACUGGUGAGUAACACGUGGGAAACCUGCCCAGAAGCGGGGGAUAACACCUGGAAACAGAUGCUAAUACCGCAUAACAACUUGGACCGCAUGGUCCGAGCUUGAAAGAUGGCUUCGGCUAUCACUUUUGGAUGGUCCCGCGGCGUAUUAGCUAGAUGGUGGGGUAACGGCUCACCAUGGCAAUGAUACGUAGCCGACCUGAGAGGGUAAUCGGCCACAUUGGGACUGAGACACGGCCCAAACUCCUACGGGAGGCAGCAGUAGGGAAUCUUCCACAAUGGACGAAAGUCUGAUGGAGCAACGCCGCGUGAGUGAAGAAGGGUUUCGGCUCGUAAAACUCUGUUGUUAAAGAAGAACAUAUCUGAGAGUAACUGUUCAGGUAUUGACGGUAUUUAACCAGAAAGCCACGGCUAACUACGUGCCAGCAGCCGCGGUAAUACGUAGGUGGCAAGCGUUGUCCGGAUUUAUUGGGCGUAAAGCGAGCGCAGGCGGUUUUUUAAGUCUGAUGUGAAAGCCUUCGGCUCAACCGAAGAAGUGCAUCGGAAACUGGGAAACUUGAGUGCAGAAGAGGACAGUGGAACUCCAUGUGUAGCGGUGAAAUGCGUAGAUAUAUGGAAGAACACCAGUGGCGAAGGCGGCUGUCUGGUCUGUAACUGACGCUGAGGCUCGAAAGUAUGGGUAGCAAACAGGAUUAGAUACCCUGGUAGUCCAUACCGUAAACGAUGAAUGCUAAGUGUUGGAGGGUUUCCGCCCUUCAGUGCUGCAGCUAACGCAUUAAGCAUUCCGCCUGGGGAGUACGGCCGCAAGGCUGAAACUCAAAGGAAUUGACGGGGGCCCGCACAAGCGGUGGAGCAUGUGGUUUAAUUCGAAGCUACGCGAAGAACCUUACCAGGUCUUGACAUACUAUGCAAAUCUAAGAGAUUAGACGUUCCCUUCGGGGACAUGGAUACAGGUGGUGCAUGGUUGUCGUCAGCUCGUGUCGUGAGAUGUUGGGUUAAGUCCCGCAACGAGCGCAACCCUUAUUAUCAGUUGCCAGCAUUAAGUUGGGCACUCUGGUGAGACUGCCGGUGACAAACCGGAGGAAGGUGGGGAUGACGUCAAAUCAUCAUGCCCCUUAUGACCUGGGCUACACACGUGCUACAAUGGAUGGUACAACGAGUUGCGAACUCGCGAGAGUAAGCUAAUCUCUUAAAGCCAUUCUCAGUUCGGAUUGUAGGCUGCAACUCGCCUACAUGAAGUCGGAAUCGCUAGUAAUCGCGGAUCAGCAUGCCGCGGUGAAUACGUUCCCGGGCCU
rnacentral:rRNA from 1 species